rnacentral:rRNA from 1 species
ACCAGACUCCUACGGGAGGCAGCAGUGGGGAAUAUUGCACAAUGGGGGAAACCCUGAUGCAGCGACGCCGCGUGAGUGAAGAAGUAUUUCGGUAUGUAAAGCUCUAUCAGCAGGAACGAGACAAGACGGUACCUGACUAAGAAGCCCCGGCUAACUACGUGCCAGCAGCCGCGGUAAUACGUAGGGGGCAAGCGUUAUCCGGAAUCACUGGGUGUAAAGGGAGCGUAGACGGCUGAGCAAGCCUGAAGUGAAAGGCGGGGGCCCAACCCCUGGACUGCUUUGGGAACUGUACGGCUGGAGUGCAGGAGAGGUAAGUGGAAUUCCUAGUGUAGCGGUGAAAUGCGUAGAUAUUAGGAGGAACACCAGUGGCGAAGGCGGCUUACUGGACUGUAACUGACGUUGAGGCUCGAAAGCGUGGGGAGCAAACAGGAUUAGAUACCCCGGUA